GGGUGGGGAUGGGGGUGAGCUGGAGAGGGGAGGACUAGGUGUGGGAAACAGUGAAUAUUGAGUCAGAGAGAAAAAAGAGGCUUCAAGUGUCCUCCCCAGUGAGGAGGCCUCCGCAGAAUGACCCGAUGAAGAGACCUCCUCUCUCUGAAUGCAGGGAGGGCUAGAGAUGCAGAUAUGCAUAAGCGCAUGGUGCUGAGGAUGGAGUGACUGAGCCCUUGACUGCAGCUCCCUUCAGAGACUGCAGUUUACUGGCUGCACACAGUCUGGUGUGGGGAGGACAAUUUUUCCCUGUGAAGCCUGCCAGAUGGGACCGUCUAGUUGCUGGAAAACAAACCCAGGCCUUCUACU
rnacentral:lncRNA from 1 species